rnacentral:rRNA from 1 species
CAUGCAAGUCGAGGGGCAACAUGGUAUCAGCUUGCUGAUACCGAUGGCGACCGGCGCACGGGUGAGUAACGCGUAUGUAAUCUACCUGUAACAGAGGGAUAACCCGGAGAAAUCCGGACUAAUACCUCAUAGCACAUAUUAUUCGCAUGAAUUUUAUGUUAAAGAGACUCGGUUACAGAUGAACAUGCGUUCCAUUAGCUGGUUGGCGGGGUCACGGCCCACCAAGGCAACGAUGGAUAGGGGUUCUGAGAGGAAGGUCCCCCACACUGGUACUGAGACACGGACCAGACUCCUACGGGAGGCAGCAGUGAGGAAUAUUGGUCAAUGGGCGGAAGCCUGAACCAGCCAAGUCGCGUGGAGGAAGACGGCCCUACGGGUCGUAAACUCCUUUUACCUGGGAAUAACGGGCGCUACGCGUAGCGCUGUGCAAGUACCGGGCGAAUAAGCAUCGGCUAAUUCCGUGCCAGCAGCCGCGGUAAUACGGAAGAUGCGAGCGUUAUCCGGAUUUAUUGGGUUUAAAGGGUGCGUAGGCGGAAGAAUAAGUCAGCGGUGAAAUGCUUCAGCUCAACUGGAGAAUUGCCGAUGAAACUGUUUUUCUAGAGUAUAAAAGAGGUAUGCGGAAUGCGUGGUGUAGCGGUGAAAUGCAUAGAUAUCACGCAGAACCCCGAUUGCGAAGGCAGCAUACUGGGCUAUAACUGACGCUGAAGCACGAAAGCGUGGGUAUCGAACAGGAUUAGAUACCCUGGUAGUCCACGCCGUAAACGAUGAAUACUAACUGUUUGCGAUAUAAUGUAAGCGGUACAGCGAAAGCGUUAAGUAUUCCACCUGGGG